UACGUAGGGGGCAAGCGUUGUCCGGAUUUAUUGGGCGUAAAGAGCGUGUAGGCGGCUAUACAGGUCCGCUGUGAAAACUCGAGGCUCAACCUCGAGACGUCGGUGGAAACCGUAUGGCUAGAGUCCGGAAGAGGAGAGUGGAAUUCCUGGUGUAGCGGUGAAAUGCGCAGAUAUCAGGAAGAACACCCGUGGCGAAGGCGGCUCUCUGGGACGGUACUGACGCUGAGGCGCGAAAGCUAGGGGAGCAAACGGG
rnacentral:rRNA from 1 species